UCACGCUGAAAACAUUGGUUCCCGUCUGAUCACCAAAGUUAAGCAACGUUGAGCAUGGUCAGUACUUAGAUUGCUGACCGUUUGAUAAUACCGGGUGAUGUCU